GCCCUUGAUCCCGCCGGAGGCUACUGCUAUUGGAAUUCGACUAAGCCAUGCGAGUCAAGGUGUCUUCGGACGCCGGCAAACGGCUCAGUAACACGUAGGAAAUCUACCCUCAGGACUGAGAUAACCCCGGGAAACUUGGGGCUAAUACCAGAUGAGUAUAAAAGAUACUUGGAAUGUUUCUUUUAUCCA
rnacentral:rRNA from 1 species